GCUCGCUUUCUCCACGCGACCACUCUUCACUAUAAAGAGUGUACAGCUUCCCCACUUUCGACGAAAGUGCAGCAGGCGAUCAAGCUUCGUCUUCUUCUUUGCAUUUAAAGUGGAGGGUGUGUUUCAGUGCGCCAAGGAGAUCGCUGAAAUGGCCUCUCUUCACCAAAGGUAUCUAACAUGGUGUUUCAACCAACCCAUCUAGAUCAAGAUUAUCAAUCUCAUUCAAUGGGGCAAGGCUUGAUCAUUGAUGUUGUUUUUACAGUCAGGUCGAACUGCUGGGAGGCUGUCUUGUGGAGAUGGAGUAUGGAGGAACUGCAUAACUUGGCAAAGCUGAUGCAUGCCUGAUAGAGCAGAGCCUUUUUGCCAGCUCUAUUGAAAUGUGAGUAAGAUAAAAUAUAUCAGUUCCUAUCAGACUGAGGGGUCUCCACCAUAGGAAUCCAUCGUCUGCAAAAAUGUAAUCCUACACCAUAUGGAUCCCCUUUUAUUUGUAAGUACACCGUCCUUGGAAUUCAUUUAUUGAGAAGCAUAUUUGACA